rnacentral:rRNA from 1 species
UACAGAGGUCCCAAGCGUUGUUCGGAUUCAUUGGGCGUAAAGGGUGCGUAGGUGGCGCCGUAAGUCAGGUGUGAAAUUUCGGAGCUUAACUCCGAAACUGCAUUUGAUACUGCGGUGCUUGAGGACUUGGAGAGGAGACUGGAAUUUACGGUGUAGCAGUGAAAUGCGUAGAGAUCGUAAGGAAGACCAGUGGCGAAGGCGGGUCUCUGGACAGUUCCUGACACUGGAGGCACGAAGGCCAGGGGAGCAAACGGG